GGGGGCAGUCGCGACUGGCGUUGAGAUGGUGAACCAUCAGGGAGCGACCGACACGGUGAGCUGCCGUCCGCCUGGGCCGCUCGU
rnacentral:ncRNA from 2 species